UACGAAGGGUGCAAGCGUUAAUCGGAAUUACUGGGCGUAAAGGGUGCGUAGGCGGUUCGUUAAGUCUGAUGUGAAAUCCCCGGGCUCAACCUGGGAAUGGCAAUGGAUACUGGCUGGCUAGAGUGUGUCAGAGGAUGGUGGAAUUCCCGGUGUAGCGGUGAAAUGCGUAGAGAUCGGGAGGAACAUCAGUGGCGAAGGCGGCCAUCUGGGACAACACUGACGCUGAAGCACGAAAGCGUGGGGAGCAAACAGG
rnacentral:rRNA from 1 species